AAAACCACCAUGAAAGCUCAUUUUUGAGCUUGAAGAACCAAAAUCCAACCAUGGCCAAUUGUCCUACCAUAACUAGAUGUUGUUUGGACAACUAGGAAAGAGGAUUCAAAGAAAAGAAAGAAGAAAAAUUUGAAGAAAAGGGAGAAGAAAUUCUGCACACAAGUUGAAAAGAAUAUCGGGAAGGAACCCGAGGAAACGAGUCGAGGCUAAGGGACGACUCGCUUGAGAUAAAAGCAAGGAGAAAGC